GAGCCGUUGACUCAACUGCAGUAGCAAAUUUUUAUCUCCAUAUUAAUUGAAGCGGAGCCAAUAGUCAGUGAUUCUGAGCAAACUUUGUCGAGCAUAGUGUCCUGUUUUAAGCAAAUUACUCAAAGGAAACACAUUCUUUGUAUCAACGGCGCAGAGAAUAGUCGUUAGUAGCCACGUAUCAAUGUUCCGACUUGCGUAGCCAUGGCAAGUCCUCCAACAUCACCAUUUGCCAAUUGCACAGAAAAAAGAAAUGGUGAGAAGCUACACAAGGUGGUUAUUAAUGGGGGGACAGCAGCGUUAAGGAUCCUCCUCAAGGGAAUUCAUCCCCAGUUAGCUAUUUCGCUCAAGAAUCAUGAAAGUACUCUAUUAGCUCUCAAACACAGGAAGGUACUCAAGAAGGAUCAAUGGGAGAUGCUAUUUCCGCCUGAUGGAACGCAACCAAAUUGUGAGUUAUUUGACAUAACACUGCUUGGGACCCUUUUAACCAACAUUUGUCGGUUUACUCCUCCGAGCACUGGAUGGAACAACAAGCCUCCACCCAACGACAGGUCAACAGAAGCAAAUAUUGCUCGCAUCAUAUAUCAUCGAAAUCGGCUCAGUCAUGCUCCAUCAACUGAAGUUAACACGAAUGACUUCAACUUCUACUGGGAGGACGUUACUGCUGCUUUAGUUGAUCUAGGAUUAGAUCAGAAUGAAAUAGAUGCCUUAAAGAAAGAGGAAGAAUUAGAGAAACUGGCACGUUUUGAUUUUACAGGAGACAUAAACCAUCACCUAGCUAAAUUUCAAGACGGAACGCGAGAGUGGAUCUUCAAUGAAGUCGAGAAUUGGUUAGAUGACAGGGAGUCGCCGCAUCGAGCAAUGCUGAUUACUGCUAGAGCUGGAAUGGGAAAGUCCGUCGCAAGUGCAGUCAUUUGCAAGAGAAUGCAAAAGGCAGACAGACCAACAGGGUGUCAUUUUUGUCAACACAGCUUCGAAUCCUACCGUGAUCCGAAACGAAUGAUUCAAUCUCUUGCCUACCAAUUAAGUUCGAAAUUGCCAGAAUAUAAAGCAGUUCUCGUGGAGCAGCUCUCCAGAUCCCACAACCUAGAGCUAGAAGAUAUGAUCGUGCAAGAUCUGUUUGUAUGGCUGUUUAAAGAACCCCUCUCCGCUUUGGCAGACCCUGGCAGAAACGUCCUCUUGCUAAUAGAUGGCCUGGACGAAGCUGAACUCCACGGUCGAAAUGAAUUACUUAAAGUCAUCGCCAAUGACUUAUCCAAAUUGCCGCUUUGGAUAAGAUUUCUAAUCACCGCAAGACCAGAGAAAACCAUUUCAGACAAAUUGGGAAAUCUGAAGACUUUCGAGUGGCAACAAAAUGAUGAGCGGAAUCGUGAUGAUAUCAAACUUUUCUUUGAAAAGAAUCUAAAUUCUCAUGUAACAAACCCAGACAGUCUCAGUGCUAUUGUAAAAGAGUUGGUUCAACAUUCAGACGGCUCGAUGCUCUUCGCAUUCUUUUUAACACAAAUGAUCAAAAACAGGCCACCACUGGUAAGUCAAGAGGAACUUCGUCGACCAUUCCCACGUGGUAUUUCCUCAGUUUACCAGUCCUAUUUUGAGCGAAUGAAGGAAAGACUACAGGAAGAAUUGAAGGACAACUAUGGCAGUUUUUUUACUGAUUUUCUGAGUGCCUUGACUGUUUCUGAAGAACCUUUGCACAAAGAGUUCAUCAUGGACAUACUUCUGGGAAACCGCAACACUUUAGGAAGUGAUUGCACUCGGGAAAAAAUUGAGAGCGUUUUUAGCUGUAUUUCUUCUCUUUUUAUUCUUCGAGAUGACCAUGUUCACAUGUUCCACAAAUCCGUCAAAGAUUGGCUGACAGACUCGUCCAAUGGAUUUUCCUUCGUGAACGAGAAGGAAGGUCACAAGAUUCUGUCUCAGUUGUGCAUUAAAGAACUUGAAAUUCUGAAGGGACGUGGUGAACAGCUUGCAGAACCGCUGACUCAAGCGAAGAUGAAAUACGCCUUACGACACGGUGUCAAGCAUAUGCUGAAAGCAUCAGAGAAUAGUGCUCAAAUGGAAGGAUUAGUUCGUGGGUACGUGAUAGAUCUCGAACUCGUCUAUGCCAAGCUAUGUAAUAGGGACACUGAUGUGGUUAAAGAUCUUGUUCUUGUGCAAGAAUAUCCAAAUUCAAGGACACUAAGCGAAGAAAUCCACGACACAAUUGAAACCCUUUUACUACAAUUUAAGAAAAACCCAAGGCUGCUUCGCGAUAUUCCUCAGAUGAUUUUCCAAAACUCACUUAACGAAGGAGGAUCGGUUCUGUCCAAAAAGGUGUCCGAUGCUCUUUUGAAGAAGCAUCCAGAAGUACCAUAUAUGGAGCUCUUCGACAAAAAUGGUCAUCGAGGCCCUGUUGAAGCUCGCUUUUUCUGCCCCGACCAGGUGGUUUCUUUUGAUGUGUCCCCAGACGAAGAACUCUUGGUAAGCGAAUGCCGAGAUGGAAAGACAUCGUUAUGGUCACUUCGGACCGGAGAGCAGCUUUGGGAAAAAGAUAUAAUACAAUCAAUAAAGUCGUACGAUGAAGUUCCUUUUGGAACAGCUUUCCGCCAGACGUGCCUAAACAUCGAGACUGGGAAAAGGACGUUGUCGUUUUACAGCUCCACUGUCUUCCAUCCAAACGGAUGUUCCAUACUGCCAGGAAACUUGGCUAAAGUGUACAGCGUAGACGGAGAGCCGACCUUCCUCUUUCCAGAGAGCAAGUGUCAUUUUAAUGUGUGCUAUUUCUCCUGUAACAAAACAAAGAUGUUAACUGAUUGUCCAGAAAACGCCCAGCAAGUGGUCAUUUGGGACACAAAAAAUGGAGAGGAGAUCAAACGCUUCGAGAGCGAAGAAAUCAUAGCUUCUUUUGCUAUUUCUCACGAUGGAGAUCGUGUUGCAAUUUGCGAUGUAAAGGGUUCACUUUGGUUACAAGCCGUUGAGGAUACCAGCUGGAAGAGAGUAUCUCAGACCAUUUCAGGCGUAGGUAGCCCAUGUGGACUGUUGCAUUUUCCAGUAAAGGGACCUCUUAUAUGUGGCAGAAUCGAACAUGAGCGGUCUGAUCACCGUGACAAGUACAAACUUUCGGUGCCAGCGCUUCAGUCACGAUCAUCUUGUGUCUUUCUGUGGCCGUUGGAACCGGUUGGUACUGAUGAUAGAUUGAAAGUCAUUUGUGAGACAUCCCAUUUCGUUUCAGCAGACUUACAAAUAGGAUUUUGCCUCAUGUUAACAAACAAUUUGGCAGUGGUCGGGAGUCCAACUGUCAACUACUUGACGACGCUUAAAAUUACUCGUCCCCCAGGAGACGUAGAGAUGCCAAGAACAGCACAAACUGCGUUUUCUACAGAUGACGGAAGCCCGCACUUGUACACAGCUAUUACCAUUUGCAACCCGUCGAAGGUGACGGAUGAGCAACGCUUGGUGACAUUAACUAUGCGUGACAGGGAGAAUGCCAGAGAAAUGAAGCAGGAAAAAUCCUUCCAACACAGUUCACGUCGUGUCGAGAAUGGGAUCCUGAGCGUAACUGUCACGUACAAUUAUGAGCCAGGUAUUCUCGUGCAAACAGACAGCAAGACGCUAGAGGUAUGGAACAGUGACCUGUCUCAAAGUCUCAACUCUAUCACCAUGAUGGGCGAAGUCGAAAGACUGAUUCCUGUAUCGAAAGAUCUUGUUGGAUGCGUUUUACGCAGGCCAAACUUUUCAUCCAAAGGACAACACGAACUCGUAAUUGUCUGGUUUGAUGUCUUAACAUGGGUAGUUGUGUUUGAGAGGACUUUAAAUGGUAACCCAGAAUUAAACUCGAUAGCAUGUAGUCUUCAAAGAAAUGUGGUAUUCUGCGGAGAAAACAACGUCGGAAAGCGCGAGAUGUUCCUCUACAGACGUGAAGAAGACGUUUCCAUUUGGAAAGAAGACGUCAUGUACCAAGGCAGUAGUUACUGGAGACAUCCACACUGCGUAUUUUCUCCUCAGGGAGACGUGGUCGUCACAUGGAAUACUCUGAAUGGCGGCUAUGGAUUGCACACUCUCAACGCGAGGAAUGGAAUGAGGAAGCACAUCUUUCUAAAAAACUGUUACGACAUCGCCGACUGCAGGUUUCUCAACGAUGGCGAAACUAUGGUCUGCUACAGAUAUGAGUCUAACGUACGACUUUUCAGUGGUGCGACUGGAGAAGUACUAGCGGUCCUGGACAUAGGAGAGCGCCCGACCUGCAUUGGAACUUCUCUCAACGAGCCUCUUAUCGCUGUUGGCCUUCGUUUUGGAAACGUAAAAGUGAUUCGAGCGCAUGCGCCAAAACAAUGGAGAAACAACCACAAAAAGAGAAAGAGUUCGAAGGACCAAAAAUGAGGGUCUGAUUAGCGGAGGUUCAUCAGCCAACAGGAGUGAGUGUGUGUACCGAGCCUCGAAAAGGUGUUAGCUCACAAAUGAGAUAAUCAUUAUGAGAACUGUUUUAAAACUUUCUUAAAGUGACUGUUCAUAAACAUUGCCCAGGUCAGAAUUGCUUGAUCAAGGAUAACCAUGAUAAAGAUCUCAAUAGGGACCCUAAGCAGCCAGAAUGGCAACACUGGACUUGAGAAUUAAUGACUUAGGAAUGAAGGAGGUACAAUUGUAAAGAAACUAUGGUGCUGUGUCGGUGGGGGAUAAUAAGCAAAGAAACUCCAAGUCCAACCCGCGGCCGGCUCUCAUUUUGUUCCAUCAAUAAUGCUGUCCAACCCUAUGUCUCUGAUACCAAAGCUGAGUGAGGUCCAAGAACUUCCUCUACGGAAAAAUGUUCAAAUUGGAUGUAUUGUAGAGUCUUGGCUUAAAGAACACAUCAGCGACUCGGUUGUAAACAUUGAGGGCUAUAAUAUCGUACGGAAAGACCGCUCUUCACUCGAUCACGGAGGAGUGUGUUUACAUCAAAGAGGACAUAAAAUAUGAACUUCCGGAAACUCUAACAUGCUGCAUCGACCACGAAACUAUUUGGGUCAAACUGAUGCCCUCAAGAUCUCCUCGCGGUUUUUCAUGCGUGAUUUUAGCUGUUGUUUACUACCCUGGCCGGACAAGCCCGGUGGAGUGCGAUGGUCAGAGGCUACUCAAUCUCUACUUGACAGUUUGACAGCAGCAGAAACCAUGUUUCCUAUCUGCGGGCUAAUUAUUACUGGCGAUUUUAACCGCUUGAAUACAGGUCGUUUGCAGUGUCAUUUCAAAUUGAAACAGCUUGUGAAAUUUCCAACAAAAGGUGAUACAACGCCUGACCUGGUUUUAACCAACUUGGGCGACCACUUCUCGACUCCCGAAUGUUUUCCACCUUUCGGCCUUUCUGACCAUUGUACAGUUAUUGUUCAGCCAAGGAAGAGAGUACCCAACCAACAUACUCGGAAGUCCAUCACCAUCAGAGACAUUAGUGACAGUAAUAAGAUGUGCCUUGGUCGGUACUUCAGUAGCAUUAAUUGGUCAAUUGUCAUCAGCCGGCCUACCUGUGAGGAAAAACUUCAGGUUUUUAACGAAGUGAUUGAAAUCGGCAUGAGUAAUAUCAUGCCCGAGAGAACGAUUUAAGUCUACCCAAAGGACGCCCCUUGGAUGUUAGUCAAGCUAAAGCAGUUAAUACGCAUGCGCCAGCAAACUUUUCACGCCAACAAGUCAAGCCUAAUGUACAAGUACUAUCGAAAUGCAGUAAAUAACGAAAGGAAACGGUGUAAAGCAAGGUAUUAUACUUCUAAGGUGAAAUAUCUUAAAGGUGUCAACCCGCGCCAGUGGUGGAAGGAAGUGAAUAGGCUCAGUGGAUCAAAAAAGCAAAGGUCGUCUCUAUUCUCCUCCCUCGAUGUUCCUUAGUACAACAGCUUGUCUCCAACAGAAGUUGCUAGUUCUAUCAACCGUGCAUUACUGGAGCCACUUCAAUCUUACGAGCCAUCGAGAGAGAGCGUGCGGUCUUACAAUUGCCCCUAGAAGAGAAUCCGGAGUUCCUAGUAGUGUCCGUGCAAAGAGUGUAUAACAACCUGCUUUACCUGAAUAAGCAUAAAGCUCCUGACCCGGAUGGUCUUUCCAACUCAGUGUUAAAGGAGUAUGCCGAAAUUCUAGUUACCCCCAUUCAAAACAUCCUGGAUGCCUCAUUCAGUGAGUAAAAACUACCCUAAAUGUGGAAAAUUGCAGAUGUCACCCCCCUGCCUAAGGUGAAGGAAGUCACCGACCCAAAAAAGGAACUGCGUCCAAUCUCUCUUGCAUCUACCCUCUCGAAAAUAUCCGAGGACUUUAUUGUUUCUGAUUACACAAAUCCUGCCCUAGAGUGCUUAGUUGACUCGAACCUGUUUGGUACCAUAUCUGGUUCUUCAACCGUGUUGGCACUCAUUAGUAUGAUUCAUAAGUGUAACUGCAGUAAUCGUAACCUCACAACACCACGAUGAUGAAGACGUAUUUAUUGGGUACGAAUGAUGUUGACGUUAUGUGGGUUGAAACUUAAAACAAUAAAUGAAUACGAAAUUACAACAAUCGACUAACAAAAGCGACAGGAAAGAA